rnacentral:rRNA from 1 species
GACGAACGCUGGCGGCGCGCCUAACACAUGCAAGUCGAGCGAUGAAAUUUUAACCGAUCUCUUCGGAGAGAAGAUAAAAUGGAUUAGCGGCGGACGGGUGAGUAACACGUGAGAAACCUGCCUUUCACAAGGGGAUAGCCUCGGGAAACCGGGAUUAAUACCCUAUGACACAUUUCCUUCGCAUGGAAGAAAUGUUAAAACUCCGGUGGUGAAAGAUGGUCUCGCGCCUGAUUAGCUAGUUGGUGGGGUAACGGCCCACCAAGGCCAUGAUCAGUAACCGGGCUGAGAGGGUGAACGGUCACAAUGGAACUGAGACACGGUCCAAACUCCUACGGGAGGCAGCAGUGGGGAAUAUUGCACAAUGGAGGAAACUCUGAUGCAGCGACGCCGCGUGAGCGAUGAAGGCUUUCGAGUCGUAAAGCUCUGUCCUAUGGGAAGAUAAUGACGGUACCAUAGGAGGAAGCCCCGGCUAACUACGUG